GACGAACGCUGGCAGCGUGCCUAAUACAUGCAAGUUGAGCGCUGAAGGUUGGUACUUGUACCGACUGGAUGAGCAGCGAACGGGUGAGUAACGCGUGGGGAAUCUGCCUUUGAGCGGGGGACAACAUUUGGAAACGAAUGCUAAUACCGCAUAAAAACUUUAAACACAAGUUUUAAGUUUGAAAGAUGCAAUUGCAUCACUCAAAGAUGAUCCCGCGUUGUAUUAGCUAGUUGGUGAGGUAAAGGCUCACCAAGGCGAUGAUACAUAGCCGACCUGAGAGGGGGAUCGGCCACAUUGGGACUGAGACACGGCCCAAACUCCUACGGGAGGCAGCAGUAGGGAAUCUUCGGCAAUGGACGAAAGUCUGACCGAGCAACGCCGCGUGAGUGAAGAAGGUUUUCGGAUCGUAAAACUCUGUUGGUAGAGAAGAACGUUGGUGAGAGUGGAAAGCUCAUCAAGUGACGGUAACUACCCAGAAAGGGACGGCUAACUACGUG
rnacentral:rRNA from 1 species